rnacentral:rRNA from 1 species
GCCAGCAGCCAUAUAACCCUGCAACUUACAACUGGCAACCUACUGAAGCUAAGCGGGUGUGAGCCUGGUCAGUACCUGGAUAGGAGACCUCCUGGGAAAAACUAAGGUUGUUGCUGGAA